rnacentral:rRNA from 1 species
UCCUACGGGGGGCAGCAGUGAGGAAUAUUGGUCAAUGGUCGGGAGACUGAACCAGCCAAGCCGCGUGAGGGAUGAAGGUACAGAGUAUCGUAAACCUCUUUUGUCAGGGAACAAAGGCGGGGACGUGUCCCCGGAUGAGUGUACCUGAAGAAAAAGCAUCGGCUAACUCCGUGCCAGCAGCCGCGGUAAUACGGAGGAUGCGAGCGUUAUCCGGAUUUAUUGGGUUUAAAGGGUGCGCAGGCGGUCUGUUAAGUCAGCGGUCAAAGCCCGGGGCUCGACCCCGGCCCGCCGUUGAAACUGGCAGG